rnacentral:rRNA from 1 species
CCAUCUUCGCGUGUCUUGGAGUCGGGUUGUUUGGGAGCGCAGCCCAAAGUAGGUGGUAAACUUCAUCUAAGACUUAAUAUGACUACGAGUCCGAUAGCGAACAAGUACCGUGAGGGAAAGUUGCAAAGCACUUUGAAGAGAGAGUUAAAGAGGACGUGAAACCGAUGAGGUGGAAACGGACAGAGCUGGCGUAUCUGGCCUGCAUUCAGCCGCGCCCCGCUGGCGUCAGGCAUGCCGCUCUCCAGAUUGGGACGGUGGCCUGUCUGCUUGGUGGGUUUGUGGUGCAUUUGCAGGUGGAGUGCGCUGAGGCGCUCGGUGCAGCGGCAUGAGCUUGGCUUUGAGGCCAGCCCCGCAAGGGGUCUGGUACCCGGGUCAGGGGAGUUCUGUUUGCGCUGGGUGACACGUGAGCAAUGGUCUCGGGCUCGUGUAGGUGCCGAGUUGGCGGUCGGCGGCGGUCGCGUGCGACACGUGCCAGCAGUCGGUUCGGUCCUGCUCGAGCUCACAUCUGCUCGUCCUCGGUGUAAAAGCCGGUCAUCUGUCCGACCCG